GGGCCUGUGGAGAGAACGGUGAGGGACGGGGACUUCAGAGUAGGGAGCAGAGAGAUCUUCACUCCUCUCCUCCCACUAGACUCAUGCCCAACCCAGGGUAAAGAGCUGAGCCCACUCUUCUGCACCUCAAUCGGAGAAACUGAGGCCUUGAUGCGGAAAGGACUUGCACUCCUUCUCCAGGGCUUACAGGCCUUGGAUCUGCUGAGACCAUGGGGCUAGAGUGGAACAGCGAGGAAACUCAGUAUCUCUAAGAACCUCCAGGCCACAUCAGAGGAUGGGCGUUCCCAACCGCCAGCCCCUGGGGCGGAAGGAGGCGGCCGCUCCCGCGUUAGCCACCAGGGGUCGCCAGCAGCUCAGAAACGGGUAUUGCUGGUCAGACAGCCUAGAGAAGUGAGCCAGCCGCCCCUCACCAGGGCCAUUUCUUCAAAAGGACUUUCCAGGGUGGAGUCAGGUGGAACCUGUCGGACGGAGGAUUCACAGGACACACAAGCCUCAUCAGCAGCUCCGGGGCAGCUCCCCAAAGAGAAGCCCCCAGCCCUGCCCUCCCUGGGGAAGCCACCAAGGAAACGAGGAAACGUGGAAACGUUUAAGAGAGUGUUAGUAAACAAACAAGGGCAAGCCUGCCGGUCUCCUUCUCCUUCUCUGCUCUAGAAAGAUAAUGGGAGCACUGUCCUCGUGGGGUCAGCAGGGCAGCCACCCAUUGUGCGGGGGUGGGGGUCAGGAGCCUGGAUUCCAAUCUCAGCUCCAAAACCUUUGCCAUGUCCCUUCUCUCUGACUUCUGUUUCUAGAUUUGUGUCUAUGAGGCAAGUAGAGGCUGGAGUGGGGAACAGUUAACAAUGUUGGAAACCCUGGGAAUUUGAAAUGCUGUCGGCACAGAAUAUUAGAAUCAUGACAAUGAAUGAGGGACUUUCAUGAUAAAAAAAAAAAGCUUCCCUCCCAUUUGAAUCUCACCUGAGCCGUUUACAAAGUGUGUAAAAUAAUAGUUCAAUAGCUUCUAUUAUUGACUGAGCAUUAUAUGCUGGAUAUGCUUCUCAGUGCUUUUGUCUAUUAUCUCAUUGAAACCUCAUGAAAAUCCUUGUUACUCCCAGAAAACAGGCCUGGAGAAGUUCAACCACUUACGCAGAUCCCCUCGAUUAGUAAACAGAGGAGCCAGCAUUCACACCCAGCAGUCCCAACUUCUAACCAUUACAACAGUAGGAGCUUUUAAAACUCUCAAUACCCAGGUCAUAUCCCAUAACAAUUAAAUCAGAAGGUCUGGGGCUGGGAGGCAAGCACUGAUAGUUUUUAAAGAUCCCAGGUGAUUCUAAUGUGCAGCCAAGUUCUGAAACCACUGCAUGUACUAUACCACGUCACCUUGUCCCCACUGUAACUCUGUUGGAUGGGUAGAAUCUUGACUCCUAUUUUACAGAUGGACAAACUGAGGGACAGCAAACGACUUGUCCGUGUAUGUGAUGGAGCUUGGACUGGAAUCCAGGUUCCCUCUGUUCCUGAGGGCGACUUACUUGCGAAUAGGUGGCUCUGCCCCUCCCCCACCUGCUUACACCUGUUGCUGCGUAGCAAGAGCUGGAACACCUGAGCUGGAACGCCUGGCUUUGUCCCUACUUCUCCUGCCACUCCCUCCCCUCUCCAAGCCCUACACUGGUCAGACAAAGAGGGUCAGGUGCAAACUCCCUCUCCAGCCUCCCCUUGAUGCACCCACCUGUCUACACCUGUGGCGGAUGCUGCUGCCAAAACGGCCGCUACUUGAUGCUUGCUGUUACCCAACCUGCUGCGCCUGCGCUUUGUGUGCCCCAGAGAGCCUGGGGCAUUUCAAUACCCGGGCUGCGCCCCGGGCCUGGCUGCCCCUGGGCCCCGCCCCCAGGUCCCGCCCCAUCUCCUGGGAGGGGACGGGGCGGGGAGAGAUGCGCGAUCACGAGGCAUUCUGGGACUUGUAGUCUGAAGCCCUAGAGCUGGAUUGCACAAGGCCUGUCCUGGGUGGAAACCCUGUGUUGACCUGGAGCACAGGUGAGCAGAUGCACCUGCAAUUUUAUUUUGCCAAGACAUCUGUGCGCUCAUUUAUCAUGAAAUAUAUUUCCUAAGAAUCA